GACGUAGGGCGCGAGCGUUGUCCGGAUUUAUUGGGCGUAAAGAGCUCGUAGGCGGCUUGUCGCGUCGAAUGUGAAAACUCGGGGCUCAACUCCGAGCUUGCAUUCGAUACGGGCAGGCUAGAGUUCGGUAGGGGAGACUGGAAUUCCUGGUGUAGCGGUGAAAUGCGCAGAUAUCAGGAGGAAUACCGGUGGUGCAGACGGCUCUCUGGACCGCAACUGACACUGAGACACGAAAGCGUGGGUAGCAAACAGG
rnacentral:rRNA from 1 species